AGGUUUUCGGAUCGUAAAGCUCUGUUGCGAGGGAAGAACAAGUACGGGAGUAACUGCCCGUACCUUGACGGUACCUCGUCAGAAAGCCACGGCUAACUACGUGCCAGCAGCCGCGGUAAUACGUAGGUGGCAAGCGUUGUCCGGAAUUAUUGGGCGUAAAGCGCGCGCAGGCGGUCCUUUAAGUCUGAUGUGAAAGCCCACGGCUCAACCGUGGAGGGUCAUUGGAAACUGGAGGACUUGAGUACAGAAGAGGAAAGCGGAAUUCCACGUGUAGCGGUGAAAUGCGUAGAGAUGUGGAGGAACACCAGUGGCGAAGGCGGCUUUCUGGUCUGUAACUGACGCUGAGGCGCGAAAGCGUGGGGAGCAAACAGGAUUAGAUACCCUGGUAGUCCACGCCGUAAACGAUGAGUGCUAAGUGUUAGGGGGUUUCCGCCCCUUAGUGCUGCAGCUAACGCGUUAAGCACUCCGCCUGGGGAGUACGGCCGCAAGGCUGA
rnacentral:rRNA from 1 species